GGAGAUGUAGCUCAGUAGUAGAGUAUUUAACUUGCAUGUGUGAGGCCCUGGGUUCAAACCCCAGCAUUGCAA
rnacentral:tRNA from 1 species